rnacentral:rRNA from 1 species
UGCGUAGGUGGUCGGGUAAGUCUGAUGUGAAAUCUCCGAGCUUAACUCGGAAACUGCAUCGGAUACUAUUCGGCUGGAGGGUUGGGAGGGGGGACUGGAAUACUUGGUGUAGCAGUGAAAUGCGUAGAUAUCAAGUGGAACACCAGUGGCGAAGGCGAGUCCCUGGACAACUCCUGACACUGAGGCACGAAAGCUAGGGAGCAAACA